UACUUAUUUUGGAAUUAUUAUUUAAGUGCUAAAUAAGGGUUUAUUAAUAUUUUAAACAAACAUUAUCCAAAUGCCACCAAAUUUUGGGUGGAGCCAGGGAAUAAUAUCCAGAGGCUCCCCACAAUUUUUGGUGAUUUUUGGACACCCUAAUAAAUUACUAAAAUUCAUCAAAGUUUUAUUUGCUAAUUAAAAGAGCCAAUUUUUUUAUAUCCUUGCAAACUAUUAGAAAGCAGAACCUAGUAUUUUUCUUGGAUCCUACAUAUUUCAGAGAGUUUGUACAAAAAUUCUCAUUAUUUUUGGAUCAGCAUAGAAUUCACCAUUCAAAUUCAAACAUUAAGCACUUUUAAACAAAAAGAAAAAAAAGAAAAGGGCACUGUGCCACGCUGGCGGCCCGUUGGGAUCCGGCCCAAGUUGGCCCGAGAGUGCCGGUGAGCUCUGGUGAGCUCCCACCACCGCUCCGGUGAGCUCCGGCUCCGCGCCGGUGAGCUCCCGGCCUGCGCGGCGGGGUGGGUUAGCAUCUCCGGUGUCUCACGCAACCUCUAGGACACACGAG
rnacentral:lncRNA from 1 species